rnacentral:rRNA from 1 species
AUUGAACGCUGGCGGCAUGCCUUACACAUGCAAGUCGAGCGGUAACAGGUUAAGCUGACGAGUGGCGAACGGGUGAGUAAUAUAUCGGAACGUGCCCAGUCGUGGGGGAUAACUGCUCGAAAGAGCAGCCAAUAUCGCAUACGACCUGAGGGUGAAAGCGGGGGAUCGCAAGACCUCGCGCGAUUGGAGCGGCCGAUAUCAGAUUAGCUAGUUGGCGGGUUAAAAGCCCACCGAGGCAACGAUCUGUAGCUGGUCUGAGAGGACGACCAGCCAGACUGGGACUGAGAGACGGCCCAGACUCCUACGGGAGGCAGCAGUGGGGAAUUUUGGACAAUGGGCGCAAGCCUGAUCCAGCAAUGCCGCGUGCAGGACGAAGGCCUUCGGGUUGUAAACUGCUUUUGUACAGAACGAAAAAGCCUCUUCUAAUACAGGGGGUGCAUGACGGUACUGUAAGAAUAAGCACCGGCUAACUACGUGCCAGCCGCCGCGGUAAGAC